GCGGCUUGUCUGCAGUGUGGCACGCCGUCCUGCCACCGUGGUGAUCACGAAAACGUUUGGAAAUAUCGUGGUGAAAAUGUUUGCUUUGGUGUUUUAGAAGAAACCAGCUUAGGCCGCAUGGUGCUGCCCAUAUGCAGAUGCGCGACUUCUGUUACCCGCAAGGGUUUCAAUCAUUGGGAUUGGCAUUUACUGUUUCAGUGGAGAAAGAGGUCUAACUAUGAUACAAAGAAACUGAUUCAGCAGAACGGUCCACAAGACAGAGGCUGUCAAAGUAAUUAAAACAUAAUCACUCUUCCAUUCCAUUCUUCUCUGUACCACAUGUCCUAAGAACAUAUAAAAUGUCCUACUGGCCUGGAGCUAUCGUCAUAAGUCUGCACCACUGUUGGGUCCCGAACAGUGGCAACGGGAGAUGCUAUUUCGGAGGAGCACAUGCAGAGAAUGUGACAUCAUACAGUACUGAGGAUGUGGAUUCACCGAGGUUUUCUGGAGAUGUGAAACAGUAGCUGCUUGUCCUGUCAUCGUCCAUAUCCCUCCUGGUAGCGCCCAGGACUUUUUCAGACUGGUUUUUUUUCCCCCAGCAGCCACUGCACAUCUGGCAAGGCAAGUAAAUUAA